rnacentral:rRNA from 1 species
UACGAAGGGGGCUAGCGUUGUUCGGAAUCACUGGGCGUAAAGGGCGCGUAGGCGGCCUGGUAAGUAGGGGGUGAAAUCCUGCGGCUUAACCGCAGGGCUGCCUUCUAAACUGUCAGGCUUGAGCACGGUAGAGGCAGAUGGAAUUCCCGGUGUAGCGGUGGAAUGCGUAGAGAUCGGGAAGAACAUCAGUGGCGAAGGCGGUCUGCUGGGCCGUUGCUGACGCUGAGGCGCGACAGCGUGGGGAGCAAACAGG